rnacentral:rRNA from 1 species
UACCGUCAAACUUACAAGAUAUUAACCUAUAAGCAUUUCUUCCCAUCUGACAGGGUUUUUACGACCCGAAAGCCUUCCUCACCCACGCGGCGUCGCUGCGUCAGGGUUGCCCCCCAUUGCGCAAUAUUCCUCA